GGGCCCAUGGUCUAGUGGCUAUGACAAUUCCCUUACAAGGAAUAGGUCGUGAGUUCGAAUCUCACUGGGCCCA
rnacentral:tRNA from 1 species